rnacentral:rRNA from 1 species
GCGAGAAAACUUUGCAAUGUGCGAAAGCACGACAAGGUUAAUCCGAGUGGUUUCUGCUAAAGAAACCUUUUGUCAGUCCUAGAAACACUAACGAAUAAGGGGUGGGCAAGUUCUGGUGUCAGCCGCCGCGGUAAAACCAGCACCUCAAGUGGUCAGGAUGAUUAUUGGGCCUAAAGCAUCCGUAGCUCGUUUUGUAAGUUUUCGGUUAAAUCCAUGCGCUUAACGUAUGGGCUGCCGGGAAUACUGCAUAACUAGGAAGUGGGAGAGGUAGACGGUACUCGGUAGGAAGGGGUAAAAUCCUUUGAUCUACUGAUGACCACCUGUGGCGAAGGCGGUCUACCAGAACACGUUCGACGGUGAGGGAUGAAAGCUGGGGGAGCAAACCGGAUUAGAUACCCACGUAGUCCCUGAGCGGGCUGGCAAGGCGCAU